rnacentral:tRNA from 1 species
GAUAGUUUGGCCGAGUGGUCUAAGGCGCCAGAUUNAGGCUCUGGUCCGAAANGGGCGUGGGUUCAAAUCCCACAGCUGUCACCA